rnacentral:rRNA from 1 species
AGAACGAACGCUGGCGGCAUGCCUAAUACAUGCAAGUCGAACGAGAUCUUCGGAUCUAGUGGCGCACGGGUGCGUAACGCGUGGGAAUCUACCCUUGGGUUCGGAAUAACAGUUGGAAACGACUGCUAAUACCGGAUGAUGACGAAAGUCCAAAGAUUUAUCGCCCAGGGAUGAGCCCGCGUAGGAUUAGCUAGUUGGUGAGGUAAAGGCUCACCAAGGCUACGAUCCUUAGCUGGUCUGAGAGGAUGAUCAGCCACACUGGGACUGAGACACGGCCCAGACUCCUACGGGAGGCAGCAGUAGGGAAUA